GUGGGGAAUAUUGGACAAUGGGCGAAAGCCUGAUCCAGCCAUGCCGCGUGAGUGAUGAAGGCCUUAGGGUUGUAAAGCUCUUUCAGUAGGGAAGAUAAUGACGGUACCUACAGAAGAAGCCCCGGCUAACUUCGUGCCAGCAGCCGCGGUAAUACGAAGGGGGCUAGCGUUGUUCGGAUUUACUGGGCGUAAAGCGCACGUAGGCGGAUUGGUCAGUUAGAGGUGAAAUCCUGGAGCUCAACUCCAGAACUGCCUUUAAUACUGCCAGUCUAGAGUCCAGAAGAGGUGAGUGGAACUCCUAGUGUAGAGGUGGAAUUCGUAGAUAUUCGGAAGAACACCAGUGGCGAAGGCGACUCACUGGCCCAAUACUGACGCUGAGGCGCGAAAGCGUGGGGAGCAAACAGGAUUAGAUACCCUGGUAGUCC
rnacentral:rRNA from 1 species